AGUGAACGCUGGCGGUAGGCCUAACACAUGCAAGUCGAACGGCAGCACAGUAAGAGCUUGCUCUUACGGGUGGCGAGUGGCGGACGGGUGAGGAAUACAUCGGAAUCUACUUUUUCGUGGGGGAUAACGUAGGGAAACUUACGAUAAUACCGCAUACGACCUACGGGUGAAAGCAGGGGAUCUUCGGACCUUGCGCGAUUGAAUGAGCCGAUGUCGGAUUAGCUAGUUGGCGGGGUAAAGGCCCACCAAGGCGACGAUCCGUAGCUGGUCUGAGAGGAUGAUCGGCCACACUGGAACUGAGACACGGUCCAGACUCCUACGGGAGGCAGCAGUGGGGAAUAUUGGACAAUGGGCGCAAGCCUGAUCCAGCCAUACCGCGUGGGUGAAGAAGGCCUUCGGGCUGUAAAGCCCUUUUGUUGGGAAAGAAAAGCAGCAGGUUAAUACCCCGCUGUUCUGACGGUACCCAAAGAAUAAGCACCGGCUAACUUCGUG
rnacentral:rRNA from 1 species